rnacentral:rRNA from 1 species
AUNNAAUUUUUNCUUCGGAGAGGGAGCCUGAGAAACGGCUANCACAUCCAAGGAAGGCAGCAGGCGCGUAAAUUACCCAAUCCUGACACAGGGAGGUAGUGACAAUAAAUAACAAUGCCGGGCCUUUAUAGGUCUGGCAAUUGGAAUGAGAACAAUUUAAAUCCCUUAUCGAGGAUCAAUUGGAGGGCAAGUCUGGUGCCAGCAGCCGCGGUAAUUCCAGCUCCAAUAGCGUAUAUUAAAGUUGUUGCAGUUAAAAAGCUCGUAGUUGGAUUUGUGGCGUGCGGUGGGCUCCGGGCACUUGUUGUCU